rfam:Tropilaelaps mercedesae isolate Wuxi-XJTLT scaffold0000032013, whole genome shotgun sequence.
UCCGGCAUGGUCUAGUGGCUAGGAUACGUGGCUUUCACCCACGAGGCCCGGGUUCGAUUCCCGGUGUCGGAA